UCACUGGAACUUGUUCCGGAUGGAUGUCAAUAAUGUCAUACUUCCAAGAAAAGCUCGUACACUAUUAACACAAUAAUGACCUGUACCAUAAACCGACACAGGUAGGUAGGUAGAGAAUACUAAGGGGCGCGAGAGAACUCUCUCUAAGGAACUCGGCAAACUGGCCCCGUAACUUCGGAAGAAGGGGCGCCUGAUAACAUCAGGUCGCAGUGACCAGGCCCAGGCGACUGUUUACCAAAAACACAGGUCUCCGCAAAGUCGCAAGACAAUAUAUGGGGGCUGACGCCUGCCCAGUGCCGGAAGGUGAAGGAAGUUGGUUAUUUUGGUUUCCAAGAGAAGCUGACGACCGAAGCCCCGGUGAACGGCGGCUGUAACAAUGACAGUCCUAAGGUAGCGAAAUUCAUUGUCGAGUAAGUUUCGACCUGCACGAAAGGCGUAACGAUCUGGGCGCUGUCUCAGAGAGAGACUCGGUGAAAUAGACUUGUCCGUGAAGAUGCGGACUACUAACAUUUGGACAGAAAGACCCUAUGAAGCUUGACUGUAUUCUGGAAUGGAAUUCGGGCUUUUCUUGCGCAGUCUAGGUGGGAGGCAUUGAAGAUUUCCUUCCGGGGAGAUUGGAGCCAUCAGUGAGAGACCACUCUGGGAAGGCUAGAAUUCUAAUGGCGAUCCUUGAAUCAGGACGCUUGACAGUUUCAGAUGGGCAGUUUUCUUGGGGCGAGAACCUCCUAAAAGGUAACGGAGGUGCGCAAUGGUUCCCUCAGUCUGGACGGAAAUCAGACAUUGAGUGUAAAGGCAAAAGGGAGCUUAACUGUGAGACCUACAAGUCAAACAGGGGCGAAAGCCGGCCUUAGUGAUCCGACGGUGCUGUGUGGAAAGGCCGUCGCUCAACGGAUAAAAGUUACUCUAGGAUAACAGGCUAAUCUUCUCCAAGAGUUCACAUCGACGAGAAGGUUUGGCACCUUGAUGUCGGCUUAUCACAUCCUGGGGCUGUAGUAGGUCCCAAGGGUUGGGCUGUUCGCCCAUUAAAGUGGUACAUGAGCUGGGUUCAGAACGUCGUGAGACAGUUCGGUCCAUAUCCGAUGUUAGCGUUAGAAUAUUGAGGUCAGUCACUCAUAGUACGAGAGGACCUGUAGUGAUCAUGCCUAUGGUCUAUCAGUUCUUUUUCCAAAAGGAAACGCUGAGUAGCUACGCAUGGAGUGCAUAACCGCUGAAAGCAUCUAAGUGGGAAGGCCAGACCAAGAUGAGUAUUCUCCAUUAAGCCGCAGCAAGACAAGCUGAUAUAUAGGUAUCAGGUAUAAGACCAGUAAUGGUUUGAGCCGAGAUAUACUAAAGGCAG
rnacentral:rRNA from 1 species